rnacentral:rRNA from 1 species
UACGGAGGGGGCUAGCGUUGUUCGGAAUUACUGGGCGUAAAGCGCACGUAGGCGGCUUGGUAAGUUAGAGGUGAAAGCCCAGAGCUCAACUCUGGAAUUGCCUUUUAGACUGCAUCGCUUGAAUCAUGGAGAGGUCAGUGGAAUUCCGAGUGUAGAGGUGAAAUUCGUAGAUAUUCGGAAGAACACCAGUGGCGAAGGCGGCUGACUGGACAUGUAUUGACGCUGAGGUGCGAAAGCGUGGGGAGCGAACAGG